AGAGUUUGAUCCUGGCUCAGGAUGAACGCUGGCGGCGUGCUUAACACAUACAAGUCGAGCGAUGAUCCGGUGCUUGCACCGGGGAUUAGUGGCGAACGGGUGAGUAACACGUGAGUAACCUGCCCUUAACUCUGGGAUAAGCCUGGGAAACUGGGUCUAAUACCGGAUAUGACUCCUCAUCGCAUGGUGGGGGGUGGAAAGCUUUUUGUGGUUUUGGAUGGACUCGCGGCCUAUCAGCUUGUUGGUGGGGUGAUGGCCACCAAGGCGACGACGGGUAGCCGGCCUGAGAGGGCGACCGGCCACACUGGGACUGAGACACGGCCCAGACUCCUACGGGAGGCAGCAGUGGGGAAUAUUGCACAAUGGGCGAAAGCCUGAUGCAGCGACGCCGNUGUGAGGGAUGACGGCCUUCGGGUUGUAACCUCUUUCAGC
rnacentral:rRNA from 1 species